rnacentral:rRNA from 1 species
AGAGUUUGAUCCUGGCUCAGAGCGAACGCUGGCGGCAGGCCUAAUACAUGCAAGUCGAGCGGUCCCUUCGGGGGCAGCGGCGGACGGGUGAGUAACGCGUGGGAACGUGCCCUUUGGUACGGAACAACUGAGGGAAACUUCAGCUAAUACCGUAUGUGCCCUUCGGGGGAAAGAUUUAUCGCCAUUGGAGCGGCCCGCGUUGGAUUAGGUAGUUGGUGAGGUAAAGGCUCACCAAGCCUACGAUCCAUAGCUGGUCUGAGAGGAUGAUCAGCCACACUGGGACUGAGACACGGCCCAGACUCCUACGGGAGGCAGCAGUAGGGAAUCUUGCGCAAUGGGCGAAAGCCUGACGCAGCCAUGCCGCGUGAAUGAUGAAGGUCUUAGGAUUGUAAAAUUCUUUCACCGGGGACGAUAAUGACGGUACCCGGAGAAGAAGCCCCGGCUAACUUCGUGCCAGCAGCCGCGGUAAUACGAAGGGGGCUAGCGUUGCUCGGAAUUACUGGGCGUAAAGGGAGCGUAGGCGGAUAGUUUAGUCAGAGGUGAAAGCCCAGGGCUCAACCUUGGAAUUGCCUUUGAUACUGGCUAUCUUGAGUAUGGAAGAGGUAUGUGGAACUCCGAGUGUAGAGGUGAAAUUCGUAGAUAUUUGGAAGAACACCAGUGGCGAAGGCGACAUACUGGUCCAUUACUGACGCUGAGGCUCGAAAGCGUGGGGAGCAAACAGGAUUAGAUACCCUGCUAGUCCACGCCGUAAACGAUGAGUGCUAGUUGUCGGCAUGCAUGCAUGUCGGUGACGCAGCUAACGCAUUAAGCACUCCGCCUGGGGAGUACGGUCGCAAGAUUAAAACUCAAAGGAAUUGACGG